CAGCAGCCACGGUAAUACGGAGGGUGCAAGCGUUAAUCGGAAUUACUGGGCGUAAAGCGCACGCAGGCGGUCUGACAAGUCAGAUGUGAAAUCCCCGGGCUUAACCUGGGAACUGCAUUUGAAACUGUCAGGCUGGAGUCUUGUAGAGGGGGGUGGAAUUCCAGGUGUAGCGGUGAAAUGCGUAGAGAUCUGGAGGAAUACCGGUGGCGAAGGCGGCCCCCUGGACAAAGACUGACGCUCAGGUGCGAAAGCGUGGGGAGCAAACAGGAUUAGAUACCCGUGUAGUCCCUGUCUCUUAUAU
rnacentral:rRNA from 1 species